CCCCAUCAUGAUCUUCUCCUGGGACCUCAUCAGCCAUGUGAGCUGUUCUCCGGUAUCUACAAGAUCUGGCUGUGCCUGGAGGUGGAGGGCCAGAUGGUCAGUAGAACAGAGGGUGACAGCGAUGACUCACUCAUCGGUGGAAAUGCUUCUGCCGAAGGGGAGAGAGAAGGUUCUGAAAGCACAGAGUCACAGUGUCAUGAACCAUCACUUACGAGAAACCAGCUCCACCUUCGGGGACAAAAAGAACAAGAGAGGUCACAUGAAAUCACUCCAAGGGGCUGCAGAGCAAAUAAAGUACAUCCACGCUGAUUUCAAGAACUACCAGCUUUUAACUGGUGAAAACAUGAGUCCAGAUGGCAUGGUUGCCCUCCUGGACUACUGUGAGGAUGAUGUGACUCUAUUCAAUAUUUUCUUUAAGGAUUGCUUAGAGAUGGAAACAUGUUAACAAAUUGGAUCUAUCACCUGUCUCCAGAACUGCUGCUACUUACCAUCCACACAAUAUCAGAAUUUAGGACAAAUGGGACCUAUACCAUAUUGAGCUUUUAUUUUGACUGUGAUUUAUUUGGAGUGGAGGCAUUGUUUUUUGUUUUUUGUUUUAAGAAAACAAAAACAAAAACAUAUCAUGUAGGUUGUCUAAAAAUAAAGUGCAUAUAAGUUUACUUUUAAAAGUUA